rnacentral:sRNA from 1 species
UGCUCAACACAAUCAAAAUAAGUCGCAGA